ACUUUGAGUUUUGAGGUUGUUUUUUCAGGAUUGUGAACUUUGAGCUACCUACAAUAUACUUGUUACAAGAAGAUGGUGGUAUAUGUCAUGUGGUGAUCUCACAAAGCAGGUACAAAGGAAAUUGAUAAGAGUUGUGUUAUAUAUAUACAGAAAUUAUAACACCUUGGUAAGCAUAUAUUCUGCUAAUUUGAACAGUAACUUCUUGAUUAUGUUUACUUUGCAAUGAAAAGAUGCCAAAUUAAUUACCAUACACUACUAUAAGCUGCACUUGAUGUUACGAGGAGACCGGAAAAAAUCUUAAUAUAUCUGUCUCGAAAUUGCAGAACUCAUUGGGUGGGAAGCACAAAAAUUAUACAAUAAUUAUGUUGAAAUUAAGGCAAACUAUUUAUGUUUACUAAGAUAAUAGUAAGAAUACUUGACAUCCAUCAAUAUAAGGAGGACACCCCUACCGGAUAACAAAAAGUCAAAUGUUAGCACUAUCAAAAACAUAUUACAUUAUAAUUAUUUUAAAUACAUUCACACAUGCACUUUUGGUGAAUUUUAUAUUCUUGGUAACAACUAUUCUAGCCUAUGUUCGGUUUAGUUCAAGAAAACCAUGAUCAUGAGGAAAAACUGCAGUAUUACAGGUAUCGCCUACAGCAUAGGAAAAAAAUCCAUUUCAUAUCGAUUAAGAUAUAUGAACCAAAUUUCAGUUAAUACAUUUAAUCCUUCUUGCUUUGUCCUAAAUACACAUAUAGGUCAUAUAACUUGCUAAUAUAUGUUAGCAACAAAAAAAGAAUACUAUUAAACCACCUACAAUGGGGAAACUUACAUGUCAAGAAUAAGCCACUCUCGACGAAGUAGAAAUGAUGCAAAGUUGUAGCAAAUUAAUGGGUGAAAGGCGAUGGCACCAGCAAUGAGGAAGCCCAAAACCUGCCUUUGCCUACAGACUCUUUAAAUGAAAAGAGACCAAUCACUAUAUAAAAAAAUAUACAUCGGGGU
rnacentral:lncRNA from 1 species